rnacentral:lncRNA from 1 species
CUCGUUUCUGAGGCUCCCCGGGGGACCCUUCUCUCCUCGACGGUGAGAAAAAAUAGGCUGCUUGGGAUAAUGGGCUCGUUUCCAUCGCAUGGACGUCACGUUUCCCUCUUUGCCCUGGCUACAAGGAAGCUCGGAGACAAAUUUAUGGGCAUGCGCUAAAAAUAUCCUCUUGUGGUAAUAACAGUUUGCAUAUUACCCUCAUUUCUGGCUUCCCAUUAUGUUUCUUCCCUCCCCCCCCCUUUUAUUUGCUUUGCUCUGUUUCUCUUUUCUCUUUUUUUAUCUUGUUCGUGCUCACGAAGAGCCUUAAACGUGGGAGCGGUGAGGGGGAGUAAAUGCACACGAAUGGAUGACACAUUUAUGCCAACAAAAUAGUGCCCAGCAUUUGUGGGCAGUGUCGGAGAGCGGAUGACAGUGGCGGACCAGAGAGGGCCUGGCCGGGUGCCCGGGGACACCCGCAGAGCCCAGUGGUGAAGGCCGGACAACCUGCCUCCCGUUCCCUGUAGGUCCUGACAGUGGAGCCUCUGCUUUCCUUAAAGCGCCACCCUUCGAGGAACGCGCACCCACGGGAGGGCAGGGCUCCGGGAGAGACUCAGAUGCCCCGGAAGGGGUCCCAUAGCCUCCCCCGCCCCAAGCUCCUGGUGGGGGGGGGUCCUGGUUCGCUGGGCGGGAGGCAGGAAGGAGCACGAGCAGCAGGGGGCGCUGUUCCCACUGUCUCCCAGGCAGUGGCUCCUGACAUCUGGAAACAGAUUCCAGCAGAGGUCUGGGCCUGGGGCCAACCCGUGCUCGCUGCAGCCCGCGUGAGCCCAGCCUGCCCACGCCAGGGGCGCACAAAGGCGACCCCAGGAACCACACCCCACCGUCCAAGUGGAGGAGGGAAGCUUGUCUGUUUCCUUUCACUCUGGGCCUCGGUUUCCCGCUCCGUGCUAGGAGUAAACACCCCUUUGCAAGGCGGUUGUAAAAGUCAUAGGUGACCGUUGGGGGCAGUGCGGUCUGGACGGAAGAGCUCGGACUGGCAGAAAGACCCAGACUGGAGUCCCAGCCUGCCACACGCUGUGACCUGCGCCUUCCGGAGCCUCCUAGGCACCGUGAAAAUUGAGCCAAACAGCGUAUGCAGAGCCCCCAGGGCCCAGGAGCAGCAGUAGCUACGGAGGGCCGUAUAGCCCGGUCUGUAGCAGCGGCCGGCCCUGGGGGAGCCUCCGUUUCCCCACCUGUAGACAAAAAAGGUGAGAAGAAGUGAGCUCUUGGCCCCUCCUGAGGUCUCUGCUCUUCUGGGUCCUGUAGAAUCCGGGCACCAGAAAGCACUGCCCUGAGGGAUGGGCGUCUGCAGCAUGAUGGGACCCCUACGAAGGGUCUGCUCUGGGUCACGAUGCCCCCAUUGGGCGGGCCACUCCCUCUACCGCUGAGGCCUGAGCCCGGCCGGCAGGAGAUGCAAACCAGGAGCCCAGUCCCGGAGUCCCCAACCCCUGGCGUUCGGGGUCAUUCCAGGAAAGGUCCUGAAAUUCUCCGCGUCUUCAAAGAAAAAGACAUUUCCGGUUUUUGGGAGGCAAAAGCACAUGUCCCUGUUGUCCCUUUGAGAAGAGGAAGCCCCAGCCUCCCUUCACACGCCACCGCCUGUCGUCCAUGCUCGUGGCCACUGCCUCUCGGGACCCCACGGUGCUCACGGCCGGGGGCCCCCCAGCGCCUGCCCCGCGUCCCUCCCCCGCUCCUUCUCCUUCCUCUGGGCCAGCGGUUCCCACCCUGGGUGUCCGUAAACUUGGGUGAGAACCGACAUCUCUGUGGUCACCAACGCCCCUCCCUGAAGGGCAGCGUUUCCUUCCGUGGCGAGGUAGGCUCGAGCCACGGAGCCGCCUGUGACCGUGGCCGAGAGAAGCCACAGGUGUUUCCAUGACCACCGUGGCUGCUGCGGGCACCCCAAGCGUCCCUUCUGCUCCGCGCUGCUUGCGGAUCUCGGCUGGUAACCCCGCCCCUGGCCAGACGCUGUUAUUUAACACGUUCACGAAGAGGCCCGUGGGUCCGUCACAGGCUUAUUUCUGUUGCUCUAUUUUAAUCUCUGCGUUUGGGCAGCUCCUUUCCGUUGCGAUGCUGCCCAGUGUGUCUCACGCGUUUACAAAAGCGUCCUUCCGAGAGACGGCCUGCCUCCCCAGGCUUCAGCAGGUGCCCGGCGGGGCUCACGACACAAACAGGGUGAGGAUCUCCGGCCCCAGGGCUGGCGCGCGGGCGUUUUUUCCCUGCUCGACGCGCCGCCACUCCGACUGAUUGGCUUUUGCUUCCGGAGCCUCGGCUCCACGACGUGGUGACCAGCUCCUGGUUUGCCGCCUGCCAGAGGCGAGUCCCGUACCCCAACCCCUCCGUGGGCUUCUCCCGGCAAUCCUGUGAGCUAGCAAAGUGCUCUUCCUUCCCCUCUGGUGGAGGGGGAAACUGAGGCACAGAGCUGCGGCCGACUGCCAGGGUCACAGAGCGCUGAGGGCCGGAACCCCCAGACAGGCAGAACUGGGUCAGGCGUGUCAGUAAGAGGUCGCGCCCUCCAAGCUCUGAGGAGGGAAGUCCGGGCCUAGGGCGGUGUUUCCUGAGCGUUUGUCCCUGGUGGAGGUGGGGAGCCAGGCGGGGGUGACAUCUGCUGGACCUCCAAGCUGGACUUGGGGCAAGGGGGCGGGGGACGCGCUGGGGAGGAGGGGCAGGGAGAUCCGGGCUUGUCAAUUUCCACGGGGAGAGGAAUCCCGGGCACGGACAGGGACGCGGCUGGCACCGGGACUCUGGGAGCGCCCGAGAGAGGCCUGCGCCCUGGUGGCUCCUCCCGCCCGCGGCCCCGCCCCUCAGGCCCCCCAGCAAACCCAUCGCCCGCGUUUCCGAGGCCAGGCCGGCCGGCUGGGUCUAGGCCCCGGAAGGCCAGGCCGGGCGGGGGCCGGCGGGGGCCGGGGCGGGGCUGGCCGAGGGGCCGGGCCGUCCCUUCCAGCGAGGGCGGGCCGCGCGCGCCUUUAAGUGCGGCGGGGCCCCGGGCGCGCAGCGUCGGCCCAGAAGGAGCGGGCGCCUCUCCGGUCCCCGCCCCCGCGUGCCCCCGUNNNNNNNNNNNNNNNNNNNNNNNNNNNNNNNNNNNNNNNNNNNNNNNNNNNNNNNNNNNNNNNNNNNNNNNNNNNNNNNNNNNNNNNNNNNNNNNNNNNNNNNNNNNNNNNNNNNNNGGCGGCCGCAGCCCGGCCCCAGCACCGCCUCGGCGCCCCCGCUGGUCCCCGGCCCGUCCCCCGCGCUGCUGCGGCCGGACGCCGGCCCGGCCGCGAUGCAGGCGCGCGCGCUGCUCCUGGCCGCGCUGGCCGCGCUGGCGCUGGCCCGGGAGCCCCCGGCCGCGUCGUGCCCCGCGCGCUGCGACGUGUCCCGGUGCCCGAGUCCCCGCUGUCCGGGCGGCUACGUGCCCGACCAGUGCAACUGCUGCCUGGUGUGCGCCGCCAGCGAGGGCGAGCCGUGCGGCCGCCCCCUCGACUCGCCGUGCGGGGAGAGCCUGGAGUGCGCGCGCGGCGUGUGCCGCUGCCGCUGGGCGCACGCCGUGUGCGGCACCGACGGGCACACCUACGCCAGCGUGUGCGCGCUGCAGGCGGCCAGCCGGCGCGCGCUGCAGCUCUCCGGGACGCCCGUGCGCCAGCUGCAGAAGGGCGCCUGCCCGUCGGGUAAGCGAGGGGGGCGCGGGCUGGAAGGGGAGGCCCCUCCCGGGGAAACUGAGGCGCGGAGCUUGGAGGAGCCCGGAGGUCGGCCCAGGCUGGGCAUCGUGGGCAGGCCCUUUGGAAAUCAUCUAGCCAGACCCCUGGUCUUCCAGGUGGGGAAACUGAGGCCCAGGGUCACAGAAGUGGUUUAAACGGGAAAGUCGGUGCUCUCCUGACCGCCAAGGGGUCUGGUCUCAUCAACACGUACCUGUCUUGCGUAUCCUUUCCGCGGGUCCCGUAUUCCGCUCUGCUCCGCCCCGGGGGUGUUGGGUGGAAGGCAGUCUUUCCUGGUCUUACAUCUCACCCAGUCCGGAUGUUCUCUUGAGCGACAUCCAGUGUUCUCUUUCUUUUGAGCUGGUCUUAGAGUGCCGGUCUCCAGAGGGCUGUUGGGAAUGGUGAUGGAGCAUGUGGGGUCUCUGCGCGGCUCGGGGCCUCCUGGGACAGGCUGCUGAGGCAGGAAAUUCCUCUGUCCCUCCAAACCCCAGGACGACCUCCCCCCACCCGGAGCUGGCCCAGGGCUGCUUCUUGCCACACAGCUGGACCCUGUGCGUGGAAGAAAAUGCUAGAAAACCCUGCCGUCCCUUUAUCUGUUUGGGGCGCCUCCUAGGAAGGCGUUGGUCCAAUAGGUACUUGGGGUCGCGGUGUGCUGGGCGCUGAGCCCCAAGGUCAGGGGGAUGAGUCAAGCCCUGUGUGGGCCCUCGUUUCAUAGCCUCAGGGCGGGAGACGCUAACCUCGAGGACAGGCUUGUGGCCCUGGGAGCCCCGUGGGGAGUAUAUCACCUGCAGCGCUUCAGGGAAAGCAUCCGAACUGAAUCUCACGCCAGGGACGGAUGUUCCAGGCGGCGGUAGGGAAGGGCUCUCCAGGAACAGGGAGCAGUGCGUGCACGAGCGUGUGUGUGUGUGCGUGUGUGUGUGUGUGUGUGCGUGUGUGACACCCAGGGCUGGCAGGUCGGCAGGGAUGGGUGGCGAGUGGCCGUAAGUGUCGUGCCAAUGGCUUGGACUCCAUCUUGCAGGCCGGACUUCCCCAGUUGAUGCCUGAGUCUGUCAGAAGUUCCGGGGACACCUGCGGUCAGACGCCCCCUCCCCACACACCACACACACAAAAAUAAUAAAACCCAGCGUUUCCCAAGAAGGUGUCAGCAGAACACGUAUGACCUCCUGGCACACGGAGGUUCUGAGGAACCCAGUCCGGGAAACACUAGAUAGGCCCAAGUGUGAUUGUUUGGGGGAGCCAGUGAAGGGCUUGGAGGGAGGUGAGGGUGAUAUGGUCAGGCUUGUGUUUAGAUGGUGCCCAGGAGAGUGAGGGACGAGAGCCCGGUGCCGGGCAAAGUCCCAGAGACGGGUGGUGGGUAUUUAGACACUGCCCCCUCGCGGGUGGCCCAUCCGCCCUGGGGCUUGGGACUGGCGGGCCCAUCUCAGGCCACACCGAUGCCUCUGAGACACAGGGGGCUCAGGGUGGGGCUGGAGCCUGCCCACUACGGCGUGGUUGUGUCCACGGGCCCCCCCCAACCCUGACUCCCGCGUGUGGGGGACGCUCUUAGAAUAAGGCUCCAGGGCUGGGGGCAGGGAAGGCAGGGAGGUUGGAGGCCGUCUGAGCAUUUGGAAACCCUCAUUUCUUGACUGAUGGAGUCCACGUUUGUAAAGUACCUUCCCUGUGUGUCCAGCUGGCCCCCGGCUGGUGGCAAGGGCGCUGGGAUGGGGCCGACCCUGUCCACGCCCUGCCCUGGAGACACCUGAGGGUCGGGGAGACACGUGGGAGGGUGAGAAGAGGGCAAGAGCCUGACGGCAGACAGGUGCACAGGUCGCUCGGUGCACAGGGGGCGGCUGCCAGCGUGGGGGUCACGGGCUGGGGCGCCACUGCGUGGCCUCAGGCAGCUUGCUUACCGCCCCCCUUCCCAUCUGAUGACAGUGAGGCUGACCGACGGUAGCAGCGGCCGGGGAGAGCGGGGGCGGGGACUGACGGCCGAGGGGCGUGGGCACGUGCCCCUGAUGGGUAAUCCGCAGACCGUGUGUUAGUUCCCGUGUUACUGUCGCUGCCAGGACUCCUGCCCCCACCCCCGUCUCUGUUUCAUGCGGGGAGUCAGCUUCUGUGCCGAGCCGUGGACGGUGAGCGGGAGCUCUCCCAGCAAAGGAGGGGGCGGCGGGAGGGACGCAGCACAGCAGAGGCAGAGGGCAAGGUCCCCCGGGCACGGGACCCUGUGGGCCUCGGGGUGGGGGGAGCGGGGGCCUUAAAGAGAGGGGUGGGGAGGCCGCGGGGCUGGGGUCCGUGAGCACCGUUCGUGCAGUGUCGCCCCGCCCUCACUCCUGGCCCUUGUGCCGUCUUCGUCCCCCCAGGUACAGGGACCUCAGACACCCAGGUUUCUGCCGGCUACGCGUGCAGAAUCCCGUCCUUGCGGAAUCCUUGCUGCACCGGGGUCUCGGGCCAGCGCCGUCGCAUCGGGCCUUGCCAGUCUGGCCCUUCAGGCACCGCAGAGGCGCUCAGUGAGGCAGGGAGAGGUCAGGGGGGUCUGAGGCCGCUUGUUCGGGCCUCGGCUCUGGCUGGCUUGGAAAGCGGCACCGUCGUGGGUCCCAGGCUUCGCUCUGCAGGCGGGGGACCGCAGGGCCCCCGGGGCUCGGCCGCCAUAGAGCAGCAUUCUCCCUUCCCCCGCCCUCCCAAGGGUCCAGCCAGAAGGCGCCGGGUGAUGUCUACACAUGAGGGCAGGUGAGGCACUGCCCAGCCCGGGCAUUUCUGCACGGAAUUCCCGCCCGCCGUCCCCUCGCUGGGCCCGCCCUCAGAUGCACGGCGCUGAUGACUCAGGGCCAGUCUCCAGCCCCCGCCUCUUCCCGGGGCUGGAGUCCUGCGUCCCUGCCGGCCGUGGUCCUCCACCGGGAAGUCUAGGCCAGGAGUGUUUGUCACCCUCCCUCGUUCCUUACCUACCAGCCACAGGCGAGUCUUCGGCCUGGAAACGUCCCCCAAGCCACCAGCGCCCUACUUGUCCCCGCACCGCUGGCCUCCCCGCUCGCCUCCCUCAUCCUCCCUCCCGCCACUCCUCCAUGCGGCAGCCAGGAUGGCCUUGGUAAAUCCAUUCUGCCCGUCACCGGCAGGACCCCCUCGGUAGCUCCCCGACACUGACCCGACCCCCGAGGCCCUGUGCCGUCUGGUCCCCCCACCCCACCCCGCACGGCCACCUCCUCCUCCAUGCUCUAGCCUGCCCUUCUCCCCACCUCGGGGCCCUUGCACGUGCUGUGCUGCAGCCCAAGUGCCCAUUGUCUCACUUUCAUGUGGCCACGUCCUCAUCUGUCUGGACCUAGACGACCCCCCCACCCCUGAGCUGCCUUCCCCGAUCACCGCACCUUGCAACCCCCUCAUUAGCCUCACGAGCACACCCCGGGGCCCCUCUAGACCCUCACAUCACCUCUCUGACCCGGAUCAUCUGCCUUAUUUCCAUCCCCACCCUCCUUGCAUACCCCCAGCGAUGGGGCCUCACCACCUUUCCGGGAGCUUUGCAUUUUCCCAUCUCCACGGUAGACAGAACCACUCCCUGGCAUGAAUACCUGUCUGUCGCCGGGAUGCUAAACACAGACGUAAAUGUGUUCCUUGUGUCCGUGGAGGGAGGAGGCUCCCUUUUGCACUUAGCCAGAGUCCCUGCCCCUCAAGGCCUCUCUGCCCACCCCUGCAGACGAAUAGGCCUUGGUGCGUACAAUUAAUUCAAAACCUAGAGCCCAAGGGCAGCGUACGACGUGGCCUUUAGGAAUCCGUGUUCCGUGUGCAACCCCGGUGCAGGUUCAGACGGCGUCUCUCCCUUGUUUUAUUUAUUAAGAGCUUUGGUUGGUGUUUGAUUUUCAUCCCCUUAGCAGCUUCCUGUGUGUGGAAUUCUGCACUGGGGACCAGGCAGGAUGACGCUCCCCGCCCCCCCCCCACCCCGCUCCCUGCACCCUGGACGGCAGGGCUGAGACACAGCAUCUGGUGGCUCCUGAGCCAGGAGCCCCCGCAGAGAGGAGCCUGAGACCCGGGGUGCCGUGCAGCUGGCCUUCGCCGGCCAGGCUGGGCCCGGGAAGCACCCUCACCCCCUGUGCUCCCGGCAUAAGCCUAGAGGCGCGGCCGGGACCCCACAGCAACCCCUGGGGUCUGCCCGCUCGGGCGUCUCCACUUGCCACACUCACCGGCACGCAGCGGCCCCGGGGGGAGUGACGAGACUUGGACCUCCCUGCUAAAAGCCCAGCCAUGGCUCCCACUGCCUUCAAGACCCAGCACUGACUUGUGCUGCAGCCUGGCCUCCCCUUUCCUGCCGGGCCCCACCACCAUUAGCAGAUCGCCUACGAAAUCCCCAUCCUGUCUUGCGAGGGACAGAUGACUAUGGGUGGAACCCAGGUGAGGGGGAAACCACCUCCAGAACCGGGGAAGGGUAGGUUAGGAAGGGCCUCCUGGAGGAGGUGGCACGUAAACGGCCAUGAAGAGGUGGGCACGGAGAGCGCAGGAGCUGGGAGGGUGGCCUGUCGUCAGGAGGUGCGGCGCUCAAGGGUUAUGAGUGACACGUGUGCAGAAGGGUGCAGGGGCCCAGCUUGGGGGGGCGGGGGGCGGUGCCCUGGUGGGGAGGGCCGAUGCGGCUGGAGCGAGGGUGACAGCUGAGGGCCUGAGGGUCCCCGAUGGGCGUCGGGGUUGGGUUGGUGGGGGAGUGACAGGAUGGCACUGGAGUCAGGGCCGCUGGAGGAGCGGGUCCGGAGAGGCAAGGUGUUAGGUGCAGAUCAGGUGCUGGGGCCACUCUGGUGUAGACGGUGUCCGGGGCGGGGGCAGGGUUCCGAGAGACCGGCUGACGAGCAACCGCGUCCGUGCGCAGGGGCCGUGUCGCUGGGUCUGCCUCGUCGGGCGCGCACGGCCUCGCUUCCGGACGGGCCGCGGGCCCUCUCCAGCCUGUGGUGGCCCUCCGCGCCCCGUGAGGCCGGUGGAGCGGUGGGCCCCGCCCAGAUCCGAAGCCCCGUCCUCGCCUCCCGGUUCGUAUCCGAGGGGACCCAGGGGAGACACGCAGCCACGUGAGGAUGACCGGAGCUGCGCGGCUCAGCCGGACGAGCCCUGUGCUGGGUGAGCUGGACCCACGGUGUUCCAGGCUCCACCCGCUGGCUCCAGGCACCUGACGGGCACCCCUCGGUCGUCCGCUCGUUCGCCCGCCUGCCAGGAACUCUGGGGGGGACGGGGCCCAGCCGCACUCGCGCGGCCUCCCCAGGGGCCUGGGGUUUGCACAAACCAGACAAGGAAGUGGGCGGGCGCCUGGCGGAGUGAGCGCUGUGUCCUGCCCGAGGGUCUCAGGCCUCCUCCCGGGCCUUGCUUUGAGGGAGGAAGGCCCCCAGGUUCCCCAAGGUCAAGGGGGAGACACCAGGCUUGUGCUUCAGGCUGUCAAAGCCUUACACACACAUUCUUGAGGUCUUAUUUUCAUGGCCCGUUAGAAGAAAGAGCUUAGCGGGGGCAUCGAGCUACCCCAGCUGGGGAGGGACAGCUCUGCCCACGCCCAGAUUCCCCUGAUUUUCCGUGUGCUGUUCCGCACGCAAGGCAGACCUCCAGCGCCUUGGGGAAGUGGCUUUUCUGUCUGAUUUUGAUAAGGUUGUUAAAUAAGCAGGUAAGAAAGAGAGUGAAGUCGCAGGUCCCUUGUCCUCGGUGCAGCAAAGGUGUGGCCAGGAUGCAUGUAUGUGUGCCCCACACCGAACACCAGGUCUAGAGGCAGGGGGGAGCAGGUGAACCCUUGGAGAUGUGCAGUGUCCAACCUGCCCAGCUGCAUGCUUUCACCCUGGAGCGCGUGACGGGCAGAGCCAGAACCGCGACCCUGUUCGGUUCUCAGGGCUGAGUCCCAGCUACACCACCUGCAGGUCUCCUAAGCUCUCCGCGCCCCAGAUCCCUCAUCUGUGAAGUGGGGACGGCAGUGGUGUCCUUCCCGCUGGGCCACUGAGCAGUCAGGCGAGGGGUCCAAAGCGCUUGGCACAGCGUGAAGGCUAACAGCCCUGAGCGCCAGCAGACUGAGUGCCGACGGCUGGGUGUUUCUGCCAUAGCCGUGAGGGUGAAGGAGAGGUAGGUAGUCGAGGAGAGAAGGUGCCGGAAGGCAAUGUCUGUGGAAGGGUUGCCACAUGCCCAGGGGACUUCCCAGGACCCGGCUGGGAAGCCUGAGCCCAGAGGAGCCGCUGUUGGACCCGUCAGGGCCGGGAGGGCUUCCUGUCGCGGGAGGGCCGGGGGCCGAGCACACCUUGGCUUCCGUGGCGACUGGCCUGCAUACCCACCUUGAAAAAGUCCAGACAGGCCGGUGGGAGGGCCUCUCCUCCAUGAUGUUGGCACAUUAGAGGAGCCAGGCUGGCCCCAAGGCGAGGACUGGCCAGGCCAGGCGCCCCUGGGCAGGACAGCCAGGCGCAGUGGCUGAGGACCAGCCCGGGACAGAGGAGGUACCUGGGGUCAACGUCAAGGGACCUGGCUCUGGGCCCUGGUGGGGGGUUCUCCUGGCCUGUAAAAUGGGCAGAGACACCUGCCUUGAAGAACUGCCACGAGAGUUCACCGGACCACGGGCCUGGAGCCCGUGGAUGGCGGCUGAGGGGAGGGACCCACGGGGGAGGAGGCCUGCAUUCCAGGGACAGGUGCCUGGGGCCUCAGGGCCACGGACAGCGGUGCUGGUGCCCCCGGGAGCCACAGUGGGAUCGGAAGCCCCUGUUCCUGGCUCUGGGGGCUAAUUAGACCCUGGAGGCGGCUCCUGGGGCUUCAGAGCCCGCCCCAGAUGGGUGAGUGCGGCCUGCAGGUGGGGGCUGGGGGCCGUGGGGGGUCCCCUGGGACAGCACCCCGGUCCCUGUAGAACAUCCAUGCACCCCCCCCCCUUGCUCAUUCACUCAUUGUCUCACUGCUCCCUGCUCAGUGCUGUGGAUUGGGGCGCCCAGGCCAUGGGGACAGAAGGACAUGCCUUGGGAAGGGAGGUGUUACAAGGCGCUGUGGGACCCGGGGGGGUGAGAGUGGUCACUGAGCCUGCCAAGUCGGGGCAGGCUCCCCAGAGGAGGUGUGCGGGCCUGGGCUCGAGGGACGAGGGAAGGGAGCCGGGGGCCCAGAGGGGAGAGCGACAGGUGCAGGUAGAACCUGGGCCUCGAAGGCACCGCUAAGACGUCGUCAUCUGGUCUACAAGCCGUGUUCAGCAUUACGGACGCAUAGGCCCAGGCUUUGCGGUCAUCUGCCCACGGCCCUUCCAUCCCAGUUCACAGCUAACCACGGCGUGACAGGUGGCGGCUUCUUCUGAUGGAAUCAAGGCAAUGACCUCAGAGAGGGCCAGAACUGGGUCUCAGUGCCUGUUAUGCGCUGGAGGGGUAAUGCGUAGUCGGGCAGGCUGCGCACUGCCCAACUCCAAGGGAAGCCAGUCAUGCUGAGACCUUCGUUAGUAACGGUCCUGGGCUUGUGCAGUCCACAGCCUGUGUAACAACACUAUCGGGCGGCCCGGCGGGAUGUCUGGGCUGGUCACUUUCCCACUCUGGGCCUUGGUCUCCCCCUCUGUUGUUCCGUGGCAGUAUGGCUCUCCAGAAUUGGCACAGAGUAAAGUCUUCUCUCGGGGUUUGCCACCGUCCCCGAGCCCUCCAGGGAGCUCGGCCACGCCAGGGUGUUGGGGUGGAGCCCUGACGCCCAGCUUCUCUCCCUGCCAACCCUUGUCCCAGUCCGUCCCAUGCUGGCCGUGUCCCUUCCUCUCCCGGGAGGCCCCACUGGACACCUGGCCUCGAUUGCUUUGCCGUGUCAAAUUCCGCACGAACUGGACCUCCCAGAGCCCGUGGGUCACGGUUUAUUUUUGAAAACAAAACACGGCAACAACAACGACAAAGGCUAACGGCUGAAUCUGGUGGGGACUGACUGUUGACUUCAGAACUUUGGCUGGAGGAGGGGGUGGGGGUGGGGGUUGUCAGAAGCCCAAAUAAACAGCGUCUGCUUUCCAGCCGUGGGGCCCACGGUUUUCAUGUGGAAAGAGGCUGUGGGAACCCAGUCCUCCCUUCCCACUGAUUCAUGGGGUGAUUCAUCUGUGUGUAGGGAGGAGGACCAGGAAACAGGCCUGCCCCGCCCCACCACCCCCUCCCCACCGCCCACCGCGGGGCUCUGCUUAAAGGGACAGGGCCCGGCGGGGCUCUAGUCAUCAGCUGGCUGACCCAGGAGCCUCGGAGCUCUGGGUCAGGAAGGACUCAGGCUCUGAAGUCCCUGGGACCCGGAUCGGGGCGCCUCUGGGCUUUGCUGUGCCCCAUCCCCCGUCACGCUGUGCUGUGCCCGACUCGCCUGAACUCAGGUGCACACAGAGGCGCUCGGCCUGCGUGGCUUGAAUAUACCCCGCGUGAGAGGCAGGGCCGUGGGUGGGGCAUUACACUGGGAACCCCAGGAGGGAGAGACUCAUGCUGGCUGGAAGGAGCCUGCCGGGGGACUGCCUGGAGGAGACGGCACUGGAGUUGUGCCCGGGACAAGCUGGCGCGUCCUGCGGGGGGGAGGUGGCGAGUGGUCUGUGCAGGCGAGGCACAGAACGGUGGGUGAUGGAGCAGAGACUGGGGGUAAAUGGCCCAACAGGUUACACAGCAGGGAGAGGGUGACCCUUGACUGGGCCCUCGGGGACUGGCCGCCCCAGCAGAGCACGGCGGGCGCGAGCCUCGGCCCGGGAAACCCGGCAGACCCUGCCAAACGCCCACCCGGCGAAAGAGACAAGGGCCUGGGGUCGGGGUCCUCUGAGGUCCCCAGGGCACGGGAACUGCCCGGCCAGGAACGUCUCGUCAGAGACUGGAACCUGGACAGGGCAGCAGGCUCGGUGGCUGGCUUCCUUCCCUGUGCCCGGAGGCCAGAGUAUGACGUGGGCUCCCAGGGGGGUUGCCUCGAGGUGGAGAGGGCAGAGCUGGGCCCAGCCCCCCCAGCUGACUGGCGGCCUCGGUCGCAGAGCGUCAGGGAGAAUUAGCGAUCCCGCCUGGAGAUACAGACUCCGACCGCGACGGCACGCUGGGAGCGCGGAAGGAACCCUGGCCCACAGUGGGCCCUGCCCCGGGGCCCCCGUUAAUGUGAGCUCUGAGCCCUACACCCCGCCCCUCCGAGGGUUUUGCCACCCGGAAGAAGAGGGCUCCCAGGCCGUAGCCCCUGGCCGCCUGCAUUUUGAUGGGUGAGGGGCCUCGCGGUGGCCGGCAGGCUCUGGCCACCCCGGACAGGCAGCCUUUGAUUCAGGCUGACCACGGUGGCCUGGGCCCCCCUGUCCAGCGCCCACUGCCUGGCUGAGAAGCAGACAUCACAGAACCGGCGGGGCGGGGCGGGGGCUCCUCCCCACCUCCGACCUUGGACCCCGAGGGAAGCUCUCUCCGGUUCAGGCAUGACGGACACUCGGGGCCCCUAAGGAGGAGAGCCCUCGGCCUGCGCUCAGAACCUGCCUUCUCUAACUAGAGACGCAUCUCCAGGCAAGAGGACUGAGCUCAGGGAGCCACAGUUUUCCCACCUUUAAGAUGCGGGCAGUGCCCCCCGCCCUGGCCGCCUCCUGGACGUGGGGAGACGAGUCGGGGUGUGGAGAGCCCUGCAUUUGCCCCAGAUGUUUAUGCAGCACCGAUGAUGUCUGCACUCGCCUUACCUCCUGUCCCCCUGGGCAAAAUGGAAAAAUCCAGAUUCUCACUCAACCCUGAUGACCCCUCACCUCCCAGAACUGGACUUCACGGGCCGAGCCCUCUUUGCUCGCCAGCACCAGUCCCGGGGUGCAGGGUUAGGCUCACAAGUCACAUCCGUACCCGGUUCCCACAGGUCGGGGGUGGGGGGGCACCUUCAGCCUCAUUUUCAGACUAGGAGUCAAGGCCCAGAGAGGGUGAGUGAUUUGCCUGAAGCCACACAGCCGGAAGUGGGGCUGCCCAGCCAAGCCCGGCCUGCGGGACUCCCAGCACUCGGCUCAUUCGGGGAGCCGCUUACAAGCAGUGCUGGGCGGGCCCGGUUCCAGGUACCGCCAGUCUCUGGCUGCGACCGGAGAGAGCUCAGCACAUGCCCGAGCAGGGAGACCGAAGGGGUGUGGGCCCGGUGCCACCCACAUCCCUCAGGCCUGCGGUCCCGGCAGGCGGCGGCCCCCACUGCUGACGGCAGCAGAAAUCUGAGCCGGCAAAGGUUCCAGGGGGUUCAUGAACCGCCUGGAAAGUCGGACUGGGGUCCGGCCAAGUUGGAUGGGGGGCCCUGGCGACGCAGACAUCCGGAGUCCCGCGGGGCCUGGGAGGGGGCCACCCCAGGGCCAGACCGGGGCAGCUCCGAAGGGAUGGCCGGGGACCUCUGCUGUCACCUUGCCCGAUCACGGCACUAGCACGGGCUGGAGGACGGGCCAGAGCCGGCGGGGGAGGGGACGGUGGCCUCACGCCAGGGCAUUGCUCUGGGUGAGAGAAAGGGUGAGGGCCCAGGGGGCUGGCUCGGGUCUGGCUCAAGUGUCAUGUCAGGAUAAGUGUCCUGACAUCGUGAGCCUCCCGGCCUGCCCCGUGGUAUCGCGUCCAGUGAGGAGACUCCACAGUCACCAUUCUUGGGACGAGGGAGCCCCCUCCCAAAUAUCUGGGUGUCACUGGGCUGAGUGUCGGGCAUCCCUGAGGGGCUCUGAGCCUGGGGGGGGGGUCCUCGCUGGAGCUUCCUCCCGGGGGGGGGGGUUCGGGGCACCGCUGGCGGUGUCUGGGUCUCAUUAAUGCGCCUGGUUGUUCCCGCCAGCGCAGGUCUCCACCAGCUGACCAGCCCGAGGUACAAGUUCAACUUCAUCGCGGACGUGGUGGAGAAGAUCGCGCCGGCCGUGGUCCACAUAGAGCUCUUCCUGAGGUGUGCGAACCCCUCCCGGGCAGCCCCCACCCCCGUUCUAGCACGGGGGCGGUCAAAGCCAAGCGCACGUGGGGUCCGGCAGACCUCCCCGACACCUCCAACUGCUGGCGCCCUUGGGGAGGGCGGCCCUCUCUGACUCUGGUCUCCCCGCCAAGGGCGGGGGGGGGGGGGNGACCUCACAGCGCCAGGGCGUGCUAAGCAGGCGCACCGCGGAGUCAGCUCUGGUGGCCCUGAGACUGUCAGAGCCGCUUCUGGGAAGCUCCGGGUCCCCGACGGCUGAUCGCUCAGGGCAGUCCUGAGGUCUCCCGGGGCGUCCUGUACUCCCCAGAGAGAAGACGCUGACGGUGCGAGGUCUCACGUUCAGGGUUCCUCUUCCUUGUCUUAACCUCGUGGCCCCUGUGUGGGAGGGGGCCUCCAGACAGCCCAGAUGAGGCAUGCAGGGCCAGAGCCCCGUCCCCCAGCAGCGCUGUCCCGAGGGGUGGAGGCCGGCCGGUGCCAUUAUGCCAACACCGAGGCGCAGAGGACCGGGUGGCCCCCGGUCCCUGGGGGUGGGCAGAAUCCCCCACGCCCCGAUUCCUGGCCCCAGCACGGCGCUCCCUGCUCCCUGGGCGUGGAGCUUGCCCGGGGGGAGACCUCGCUCCUGGACGUCACUGCCCCCCAUCUCUGGAGGGUGAGGACAGUGCUCACCCCUGAUGGUGCUCCACGUGGCAAGCCACCAAGGGCAUGAGCUCACUGUCGGUAUCCCUGGACACCUGCCGUGUGCUCCGAGCCCCCUCGGCUGCUUUGCCUGCAUCUGUCUAAGCAGCCCUGGUGAAUGCCCACCUCUUAGUGGAGACAGCCGGGCACCCACAGGAGUCACCCCAAGAGUCAAGCCCGGGGGGCCCACCCCUCAGUGCUGACUGAGACCGUACCCCGACGGACUGCUGUCCCUCAGGGCUGAGCCCCAGAAGCUAAGCUUUGAUGUUCCCAUUUUCUGGGUGUGGAGCAGAGGCCUGGAAACGUCUCCGAGCUCACAGAGCGGCUGAGUGCCAAGUCGGGGUUUCACCCCAGGUCUCUCAGACCCCAGAGCUGACCCCUUACUGCCCUUUCUGCAACCUCCAGACCCUGAGACAUAUCAUUGAGGAAAUUAUAACUGGACACGCUAAGUGGUAUGUCCCUGGCCUUGCCAGUGGCUCAGACGAGGACCGUGUAUUUCCAGAAGGCUCCGGGCACCAGGCUUCGAGCCAGCCAAUUGCUGACUGUAGCCCAGUCUGGCCAGGUGGCAAUGCCGUUGCCACAUCAGCCUCCGAGGCCGAUGUCCACGUGGGUGGGUGGGUGGGUGGGUGGACGAGACCGAGCGGGCAAGAUCCCAGACACAGAUGAGAUGCUCAUCAAGCUUGGGAGCCUUGGCUGUGACCCCGGCCUGGGCGGGGAGGCCCCGGGGCUGCCUCGGGCCCGCCUCGGGCCCCUCCAGCAGACAAGCGCCAGACCCUAGCCGUGGGUGCAGGGGUGUGGCCAGGUGCAGCCCUCGCCCAGGGCCACACGGAGCUGGGGGGGCGGGGGCAACGGCCCGUGUGAGUGGUCAGAUCCCGUGGUCCCCCUGGGGCCGAGUGCCCAGGCUGCCUGCUUCAAACCCCUGCUCUGCCCUUUGCCUGCCUGACCCAGAGAAGUAGUUCAAGUCCUGGGCCUCAGUUUCCCCACCCGCAAACUGAAGGCCUCCUACCGUGUAGGGUGGUCGUGAGCAUUAAAUCACUCAGGGAGUCUGGCUCGGGGUGCCCGGUGGCCUUGGCUCUGGUCACCGGUCCUGCCCGCCGAGGUGGGUCUUGUGCAACCCUCACUUCCCUGAGAAAGCCCCCACCCUCAAGUUCCUUCUCUCCUGCCCCGUCCAGGCCCCUCGGGGGUCCCAGAGGCGACCCGCCCCAGAGAGGGUCCUGCGCCGCGGCCGUGGUUCCCUCUUGGCCCUGCGGGCGGCUGGGCGUGGUCACGCAUCAGGGAACUCUGACCUCUGACCGUUUGCUCCUGUUCACGGAGACAGAGGCCGGCCCGGCGUCUGCUUGUGUCUGAGCACACACCCCGCCCUGCACCGUCCGCUGUCCCCUCCGCCCCCUGAGUCCCCGGAAGGAUGACACCUGGUGUCAUCAUGGAGCAGAGCCUGCUUGUCACGCCGUCUGGGGCUUCCGGGCAGGUGCGGGGCAGGGGAGGGACCGGGCGGGGUGGGAACGCGACCGCCCCAGCACUGCCCCUUCCCCGCACGGUCCGAUCUCUCCCCCUGCGGAGAAGUACCCCCCCUGGGGACCCCGGCACCUGCUGCGCUGUCCCCCAGCCCUGUUUGUUGAGUGGCUUCCUGCCCCCAGGCGCUUUGGACAACAGGCGUCACACCCAGCAGGGUAGAUGCCCCAUUUCCUGGCUGGGGAGACCGAGGCCUGCCCACGGCCAGGCAGGUAAUGAGCGGGACGGCCCUGAGAUGAGAGUGCCGGCCUGUCUGGCUCCAGCUCUGUGCCCGCCUGUCCUAACAGGCCUGCCAGGCGUGGGCCUCGCGUCCCUUCCCGGCAGACUGCAAGUCAGAGGUCACCGCUCCCCCCUUGAGGCCGUGAAGAGGGCCUGGCGUUAAGUGAGCCGGCCGCGGCCGCGGCCGAAGGUGGCGGGGCUGGGCCUGAGGGCGGGGUGGGGGUGGGCUCCGCUCCCCUCCAGCAGGCCCCCNNNNNNNNNNCCCCCCCCCCGCCCGCGCUCGCUCCCCGCAGACACCCCCUGUUUGGCCGCAAUGUGCCCCUGUCCAGCGGCUCGGGCUUCAUCAUGUCGGAGGCCGGCCUGAUCGUCACCAACGCCCACGUGGUGUCCACCUCCAAUGCCGUCUCGGGCCGGCAGCAGCUCAAGGUGCAGCUGCAGAACGGAGACACGUACGAGGCCACCAUCAAAGACAUCGACAAGAAGUCGGACAUCGCCACCAUCCAGAUCCACCCCAAGGUGAGUGGGCGGCGGGCGGGGCGGGGGCGCCUUCCCAGGCCCCAGCGCUCGGAGUCGCCUCGGCCCGACCUCCCUGUGGGACGCUCGGAGGAACCGAGGCCCAGCCACGGGGCGGGCCAGCCUAGAACCGGGGUCUCCAGACCCCCCCGCCCCUGCCUCCUGAGCCGCCGUGUGCGAGCAGAGCCGGGCUGCCGCCCGCCAGCCAGCGAUGUGCCCCCAAGUCAUUCGCGAAGGGGCGUCCUCCAAGGCCCGGGGACGCUGCCUGCGUCCCUCCCGGGUCACUCCAGGACAGGCAGCUUCCCCCGUGGGGCUGACGGGACGCUGGCCCGGAGCUCCGGGACAUACGCCCCGGUCCCUCCACAUCCCGUCCCCCCAGCUGGCCAGGCGGGGCCCACAGCGGGGCCGCAGCCGUCCCGCGUCACCGCCAGGGGCUGGCACUGUGCCUGCGCCCCACCGCCCUUGACAGAAGGGGCGUCGGUGUCCUGCUGCUUCCGAGGGGACACUGAGGUCAGAGAGGUUAAGUCACUGCCCAAGGUCAGGCUAAGCCGGGGCAGGGCACGUCCAGUGUUGUGGUCGUGACUCUCGGUGACGGCAGCCUGCCCCUGCCGUGAGGCCGGUGACCGGGCGGCUGUCUGCGCUGGUGAGUCUGGCUUGGCUGACUUGGAAUCCGGCUUCUGCUCUUUCUGAAUGAAAGUGUGUGGUUUUGGUGAUAAUGAACCUUUUGUGAGGAGGCUCCCUCUUGCCCGAUCCAGGGAGGAGGAGAGGCUUAUCCCAACGGGGACCCUUCCCCACGGCAGUUACUGAGCCCGGGGACACCACCUCCGUUCUAAAGAUGGGGAAACUGAGGCUGGGGCGGGGCACGGGGUGUGCUCAAAGACAGAGGCUGGCAAACGUCUUCGGUGAAGCUCCAGAUAGUAAGCACUUCGAGGCUUUGUGGGGUCCGGGCCCUCUGGGGACGCCUCUCAACGACGCAGCCACCACAGGCCACACGAGCCCGCGGCCGUGUCCCCAUAAAACGUUAUUUGCAGAACAGAAACAGGCAGCAGGCUGCACUUGGCCCGAGGGCCACAGGGUGCAGCCCCUGCCGAGGACCCCCACAGGGUGACGCAGAGCCAGACUGGACCGCGGGUCUGGCGGUCGCCGGGUCUCUCCUGUUCCAGGCGCCGCGGCACAAUCCCGAGGGGCACACGCGGCAGCCGUCCGUGGCCCCAGGGGCGGGUGGACUUUAGUAAGGCCUGCACGACCUCCCAGCGGGAGCUGCCUCAGCCCCUGGGUCCCGCGCGUGGUGGCCCCCCCAGCCUUGGGGGGGGCUGCGGCCCCGCGGCCACGCGGGCAGGUGAGCAAGGGCCGAGUGGAGCCCUGCCGGCUCGCCUCACCCCCGUUCACAGGUCCCCCCGUUUGUACUGGGAGCUGCCCUGGGACAGAAGACCUUAAGUGGCAUGGUGGCUGGAGCAGAAAGAGGAGGCCACUGUCAGGGAGGAAAGGGGAGUGACCACACACAACCGGGUGCUCAGAGGGUCCGAGGUGUGGGGUCCUUGUCCAGAGCUAGAGGGAGGCACCCCCGCGAUCGGGACAGGACGGUCGCCGGCACCUUCUCAUAAAGCUUUCUGUCUGCAAGUGACUGCCGUCCCCCGGGAGCCCCCAAAAGCAGUGCCCCUCCCCGGCGGUGGCCUCGGACGCAAGGGGUGUGACACCGAACCCCCAGAUUCAUGGAGGUGCUGGCGACGGGGCCUCGGCCGCCGUGGAUUCCACGUUCGCCACUGUGCGCACUUGGGCACCUUAAGCCCGCUCAGGAGCACCCCCUCUGAGCGUGUCUCCUGCAGCUUCCGGAACACGGAGGCGACCCCAACACGGCUGGCCCUCAGAGCUGCCGGCCCAGCCGUGGACUCAGACAGACAGACGGGCUGGCUCCACGUGAAACUGGAGUGGGCAGGCGUCUCCGUGGGCAGGGGGUGAUGGCAGAGCUUGGCUGAGUCACCUCGCCGCUCUGGGCCUCAGUUUCCCUGUGUGUCUACAUCGGGAGAUCUGGUUCAGCUGGAUCAAGGAUUCCAAAACUUGGGCUCCAGAGCCCUUGCAGUCCUAGGCAUCAGUCUGUGUGUGAUGCACUUUUGACGGCAUUCGUAGCCCCUGUCAGACUUUCAGAGGGACCUGUGGCCACCGAACCACUGAGCUCGAUGACCUCAGAGGCUGUGUCCAGCCGGACCCCGUGGGCCUCCUCCCUGUGUGUGACCCCUGCAGCCCACCUGGGGACCCCUGUGGUCACUGGUGCGGCUGAGGCUCUGUUCCAAGGGCUCCAGCCCGGGUCUCUCCUGCUACGGGUCAGCUGGAGGCCAGCCCGGCCUCUGUCUGAGUUGGCAGCUUGCCUCGGCCUUCACCCCCGAUGGGUCUCGCCAGCCGCUCCGGCCCUCCUGGGACCGUCCCGGCCUGGAUCUGGCUCCAGUCUCACCCAGGGCAGACAGCUGAGCCUCCCUCCCCGUGUCCCCCCUGCAGAAGAAGCUCCCGGCCCUGCUGCUGGGCCACUCGGCAGACCUGCGGCCCGGCGAGUUUGUGGUGGCCAUCGGCAGUCCGUUUGCCCUGCAGAACACGGUGACCACGGGCAUCGUCAGCACGGCCCAGCGGGACGGCAAGGAGCUGGGCCUCCGGGACUCCGACAUGGACUACGUCCAGACAGACGCCAUCAUCAACGUGAGUCCUCGCGGGGCCUCCGGCGGGGCUCGCUCCCCGUCGCCCGGCCCGCGUGCUAGAAAGGUCCUUCUUUACGCUGAGCGGAGCCUGGACUCCCUGCGACUUCUGCACGCGGGCGCCAGGCCCGCCCUGGGAGUCGGCGGCUCCGUUCCUGACCCGGGCCAGGAACCCGGGUCACGCCCGAACCACUCACCCUGUCAGCCUCGCUUUUCUCGUCCUCAGUGUUGCCACCGAAUCGGGGGGCUCACGGCGCGCUCUGCCCAGGCGCCCCACACCCACCUCUCUGGUUUGCCGUGGUUCGGGCUCUUCUGGAAAUGUUAGUCUUUGUAGAGAGCCCUCGAGGCGGGUGGGGAAGAACUGUACCCCGUGAGGCGAAUCUGGAGGCGUGUGGCGUGUGCAGAGGGCUCUGGCCCAGGCCAGACGGCGUCCACGUGGCCUCCGGGGCCUCAGCUUUCUCACCUGUGAAAUGGGGGCAGGAGUGAGGCCUUUCGAUGCUGUUGGGGGUAAAAUCCGAGUACCCGUCUUCUGUGCUGGUGAACAGGGAGGGCUCGGGAGACAGAGCUUCAGGAACCCGCGAGGGGCUCAGGGCUCAGCUAACGUCUCGUUUCCUCCCUUGCAGUACGGGAACUCCGGGGGACCCCUGGUGAACCUGGUGAGUGUCCCCAAGUCCUCCACUCACAUGGCAGCACGGCCCCGAGGCGGGGAUGGAACCUCGAAGAUGCGCCUUGAAUCUUCGCACCCGGUGGCUGGGCUGGGGGCCCCGGGGGAGGGCAUGACCCCACGUGCCUGUUGCCCUGCCCCCCAAGCCCCCAGGGAUGCUGAGUAAGGGUGACCCAGAACAGCAGCCAGGCAGGGACCACACGCCCAUCAAGGACCUGGGGCAGGGGAGACACAGGUCACGGCCGGUCACGGCUCUGGGCCCCCCAUCCUUGCGUUUACGUGAGAGGGUGUGGGGGCAUCCUCGUUCCGUCUCAGCCCUGUUGGGUCACCCCUGCCCCAGGUCUGCCCUGGGCCCCAGAGUCAGGCUCAUUCCCGUCCCAGGGGAGACUUCCAGAAUCAACCCAAAGUUCAGUUCAGAAAUCAGUUGGGCUCUGGGCCCUGAGAAUUGUUGGAUGCCCUCCCGCCCUGGGGAGCUCCUGUGGGCAGGUGUGACGUGAGGAGCGGUGAGGGGGCUCUGCAGGGAUGCAGGCAGGAAGGGCUUCCUGGAGGAGGGAGCAUGUAACUUGCACUGUGGAGACCGAGGGUCUGGGGUUGAGACGGACGUGCAGGGGAAAGAUGGUCCGGGGAGCAGCACGGCACGAGCGGGAGGGGUCGGACGCUCAGCGGGACGAAGGCCGCAGCACUGGUGUUCGAGAAAGUCGUGCGGGUGGGCUUCAGGCUGGGGGCCAGAAAAGCCGGCGCAGGGGUGCGUGCUGGGUAUGGAGAGGAGUGCCUUCCCGGGAGGGUGUCAAGAGCGAGGUGUCCGGGGCCCCGGCUGCAGCCUCGAGGGGUGCAGGGUGGGGGCGGCGGGGGAGGCCAGCUCCCGGGGCGCAGAGGGGGCGGGUGAUGCCGCAGCCGCCCCGACCUCACGCCCCCGGCCGCGCUUCUGGAAGGAAGGCAGAGAGGGGCGCGUACGCCUCAUCACCCCCCGUCUGGGCUCCCGGGAUGCUGCCGGGGGUGUCCUCCUCGCGGGGCGGACCGCGAGCUCCCGUACCGACACUCUCUGGCGAGGGAGAGGAGGGGUCCGGCUUGGAGGGAGAGGUGGGGGGUCCCUGGCCCGGAGGCGAACCCCGGAGCGCCUUUCCCGGACAGCUUCCGGGAGCCCCUCGGGGGCGGUGACGGCCGGGCGGCCACGGGAACCGGGCGGCGGCCACGGCGCUCGGGCUGCCCGGGUGACCGCCCCCUCGGACGGCCCCCCGCACAGGACGGAGAGGUCAUCGGCAUCAACACGCUCAAGGUUGCGGCCGGCAUCUCCUUCGCCAUCCCCUCGGACCGCAUCACACGCUUCCUCACGGAGUUCCAGGACAGGCACG